GUGACGAAUAUCACAAAACAAAGCAUGAACAGUAAUCAUAAUCCACAAAACAAGAUCACAUCCUACGCGAUUGGCUCAAAGAGCUGGAUGGAUAGAGACCUACCAGCAUGCAAUUUCUAUUGUUCAGUUUUACACAAACUCUACAAAGUGGAGUUUUAUUGUCUGUUUAAAUUUCGUCAGCUGACGUGCGAAUUUGGCGUGAUAUUUUCUCAAGGAAAUGUUGGGCAUACAACAAAAAGCCCCGGGCGUUGCAACUUGAGCUCAAAGAACAAAUAUAUUAUAUUUUUAUGCAACCUUACGAAAAUAGCGUGAAACGUUUAUUACGGACAUAAGAAAGGAAUUCUACGACAUUGUUGUCAACCAGGUCCAGUACACCUUGGUGCCAGUGACAGGGUGGCAAGACCUUGGUACCGCCUUCCUAGAGCACAAGGAGCAGUUCCACUAUUUUGU